CUGAUUCACUGGCCGCUGGGGCCAGGGUAGGGGGUUGGGGGUGCCCACAGGGCUUGGCUAGUGGGGUUUGGGGGGGCAGCGGAUGCAAGGAGCCUGGCUGGUGCCCGCCUGCUGGCUGGCCGGUAAGUAGGCAGGCCACGCGGUGGGGGAGGCGGCCAGCUUGGUGGCCCGGCGCGCGUGGUCCAGUGGACAGAACCAUGGUCUCUAAGCUGAGCCAGCUGCAGACGGAGCUCCUGGCCGCCCUGCUGGAGUCAGGGCUGAGCAAAGAGGCGCUGAUCCAGGCGUUGGGUGAGCCGGGACCCUACCUGUUGGCUGGAGAUGGCUCCCUGGACAAAGGGGAGUCCUGCGGCGGUCGCGGGGAGCUGCCCGAGCUGCCCAACGGGCUGGGGGAGACGCGGGGCUCCGAGGACGAGACGGAUGACGAUGGAGAAGACUUCACGCCACCCAUCCUCAAAGAGCUGGAGAACCUCAGCCCGGAAGAGGCGGCCCACCAGAAAGCUGUGGUGGAGACACUGCUACAGGAGGACCCGUGGCGCGUGGCAAAGAUGGUCAAGUCCUACCUACAACAACACAACAUCCCCCAGCGGGAGGUGGUCGACACCACUGGCCUCAACCAAUCCCACCUGUCCCAGCACCUCAACAAGGGCACCCCCAUGAAGACACAGAAGCGGGCUGCUCUGUACACCUGGUAUGUCCGCAAGCAGCGAGAGGUGGCCCAGCAGUUCACCCAUGCAGGGCAGGGUGGGCUGAUUGAAGAGCCCACAGGCGAUGAGCUACCAACCAAGAAGGGGCGGAGAAACCGUUUCAAGUGGGGUCCAGCAUCCCAGCAGAUUCUGUUCCAGGCCUACGAGAGGCAGAAGAACCCCAGCAAGGAGGAGCGAGAGGCUUUGGUGGAGGAGUGCAAUAGAGCGGAGUGCAUCCAGAGAGGGGUGUCACCAUCGCAGGCACAGGGGCUGGGCUCCAACCUCGUCACGGAGGUGCGUGUCUACAACUGGUUUGCCAAUCGCCGCAAGGAAGAAGCCUUCCGACAUAAGCUGGCCAUGGACACAUACAAUGGGCCCCCGCCGGGACCAGGCCCCGGUUCUGCGCUGCCGGCCCACAGCUCCCCUGGCCUGCCCCCACCCACCCUCUCCCCUAGUAAGGUCCAUGGGGUGCGCUAUGGACAGCCCACAACCAGCGAGGGAGCGGAAGUGCCUGCAAGCAGCGGGGGUCCCUUGGUGACAGUGUCCACUCCCCUGCACCAAGUGUCCCCCACUGGCCUGGAGCCCAGUCACAGCCUGCUGAACACAGAAGCCAAGCUGGUCUCAGCCACUGGAGGCUCCCUCCCCCCUGUCAGCACCCUGACAGCACUGCACAGCUUGGAGCAGACAUCCCCAGGCCUCAACCAGCAGCCCCAGAACCUUAUCAUGGCCUCACUUCCCGGGGUCAUGACCAUCGGGGCCGGUGAGCCUGCCUCCCUGGGCCCCACGUUCACCAAUACAGGCGCCUCCACCCUGGUCAUCGGCCUGGCCUCCACACAGGCACAGAGCGUGCCGGUCAUCAACAGUAUGGGGAGCAGCCUCACCACCCUGCAGCCGGUCCAGUUCUCCCAGCCACUGCACCCCUCCUACCAGCAGCCACUCAUGCCCCCGGUGCAGAGCCACGUGACCCAGAGCCCCUUCAUGGCCACCAUGGCCCAGCUGCAGAGCCCCCACGCCCUCUAUAGCCACAAGCCUGAGGUGACCCAGUACACCCACACAGGCCUGCUCCCACAGACCAUGCUCAUCACUGACACCACCAACCUCAGUGCCCUGGCCAGCCUCACGCCCACCAAGCAGGAGGCUGCUGGUCCCCCAGGUCUUCACCUCGGACACCGAGGCCUCCAGUGAGUCUGGACUUCACACGCCGGCGUCCCAGGCCACCACCAUCCACAUCCCCAGCCAGGACCCUGGCAUCCAGCACCUGCAGCCUGCCCAUCGGCUCAGCGCCAGCCCCACUGUGUCCUCCAGCAGCCUGGUGUUGUACCAGAGCUCCGACUCCGCCAACAGCCACAGCCACCUGCUGCCGUCCAACCACGGCGUCAUCGAGACGUUCAUCUCCACGCAGAUGGCCUCUUCCUCCCAGUAACCAUGGCAACUGCCUCCCAGGGACUGGGCCCUAGAGCCUGCCUGGGGGGUGACAAGGACAUCUGAGCCUGUGACUUUUGCUGCCAUGGGGCUGUUGCCCUUCCCUGGAAAACUGCCACGGUCCCCACCCCUCUCUGCCAACGUCAGAAAGGGAGGUUCUAAGGUGCCC